UUGUUUGCAUUGGAUUGAGACACGCACAACACUUAUCGAUAAAAAUUGGAGGGCAAGUCUGGGGCCAGCAGCCGCGGUAAUUCCAGCUCCAAUAGCGUAUAUUAACGUUGUUGCAGUUAAAAAGCUCGUAGUUGAAGUGAAGUGUGAAACUUCUGGAUUUUCGUUUGAAUUUCUUGCUGGUUCACACUCUUUCCAAAUAGUUUGCAUGGGUAUUCAUUUAUCUGUGUAUUGCAUUUGGUCAUUUACUGUGAGAAAAUUAAAGGGUUCAAAGCAUACGUUUGUUUGAAUACAUUAGCAUGGAAUAAUUCGAAAAGGCUUUCAUGUUCAAUUUGAUUGGUUUGUUCGUGAAGGCAAGAUUAAAAGGGACAGUUGGGGGUAUUCAUAUUCAAUAGUCAGAGGUGAAAUUCUCGGAUUUAUGGAAGAUGAACUAGUGCGAAAGCAUUUACCAAGGAUGUUUUCAUUAAUCAAGAACGAAAGUUAGGGGAUCGAAAAGGCUUA
rnacentral:rRNA from 1 species